rfam:Ictidomys tridecemlineatus contig046284, whole genome shotgun sequence.
AGGGAUAUAGCUCAGUUGGUAGAGGGCUUGCCUUACAUGCAUAAGGCCCUGGGUUCAAUCCCCAGCACCACCA